ACGGCUCAGUAACACGUAGUUAACCUCCCCUUAAGUCAUGGAUAUCCUCGGGAAACUGAGGUUAAUACAUGAUAGGAGAUGAUUUCUGGAAGGAGUUUUCUCUGAAACUAGCGCUUAAGGACGGGACUGCAGCCGAUUAGGUAGUUGGCGGGGUAAUAGCCCACCAAGCCUUUGAUCGGUAAGGGCUUUUAGCGAAGGGGCCCUGAGAUGGAAUCUUAGACACUAUUCCAAGCCCUACGGGGUGCAGCAGUUAGGAAUCUUCUGCAAUGCGCGCAAGCGUGACAGAGCGAGCCAGAGUGUUUCUCUUUGAGAAACUUUUGCCAGCUGUAAAUAGGCUGGCGAAUAAGGACUGGGCAAGAUCGGUGCCAGCCGCCGCGGUAAUCCCGACGGUCCAAGUCGCAGCCACAAUUAUUGGGUCUAAAACAUCCGUAGCUUGUUUCGUAAGUCUCCUGUGAAAUCCGGCAUCUUAAGUGUCGGACGUGCAAGAGAUACUGCGGGGCUAGAGACUGGAGGACGUGAAGAGUACAGUUGAGGUGGUGGUAAAAUACGUUAAUCUUAACUGGACUAACAAUAGCGAAGGCACUUCACGACGACAGAUCUGACAGUGAGAGAUGAAAGCGAGGGGCGCAAAAAGGAUUAGAUACCCUUGUAGUCCUCGCAGUAAACACUGCACACUAAACAUUAGUACCUCCUCGGGAGGUAUUGGUGCUGUAGCGAAGGCGAAGAGUGUGCUACCUGGGAAGUAUAGUCGCAAGGCCGAAACUUAAAGGAAUUGGCGGGGGAGCAC
rnacentral:rRNA from 1 species